rnacentral:rRNA from 1 species
UUGCGAACGGGUGAGUAACGCGUAGGUAACCUGCCUUGUAGCGGGGGAUAACUAUUGGAAACGAUAGCUAAUACCGCAUAACAAUGGAUGACACAUGUCAUUUAUUUGAAAGGGGCAAUUGCUCCACUACAAGAUGGACCUGCGUUGUAUUAGCUAGUAGGUGAGGUAAUGGCUCACCUAGGCGACGAUACAUAGCCGACCUGAGAGGGUGAUCGGCCACACUGGGACUGAGACACGGCCCAGACUCCUACGGGAGGCAGCAGUAGGGAAUCUUCGGCAAUGGGGGCAACCCUGACCGAGCAACGCCGCGUGAGUGAAGAAGGUUUUCGGAUCGUAAAGCUCUGUUGUAAGUCAAGAACGGGUGUGAGAGUGGAAAGUUCACACUGUGACGGUAGCUUACCAGAAAGGGACGGCUAACUACGUGCCAGCAGCCGCGGUAAUACGUAGGUCCCGAGCGUUGUCCGGAUUUAUUGGGCGUAAAGCGAGCGCAGGCGGUUUGAUAAGUCUGAAGUUAAAGGCUGUGGCUCAACCAUAGUUCGCUUUGGAAACUGUCAAACUUGAGUGCAGAAGGGGAGAGUGGAAUUCCAUGUGUAGCGGUGAAAUGCGUAGAUAUAUGGAGGAACACCGGUGGCGAAAGCGGCUCUCUGGUCUGUAACUGACGCUGAGGCUCGAAAGCGUGGGGAGCGAACAGGAUUAGAUACCCUGGUAGUCCACGCCGUAAACGAUGAGUGCUAGGUGUUGGAUCCUUUCCGGGAUUCAGUGCCGCAGCUAACGCAUUAAGCACUCCGCCUGGGGAGUACGACCGCAAGGUUGAAACUCAAAGGAAUUGACGGGGGCCCGCACAAGCGGUGGAGCAUGUGGUUUAAUUCGAAGCAACGCGAAGAACCUUACCAGGUCUUGACAUCCCGAUGCUAUUUCUAGAGAUAGAAAGUUACUUCGGUACAUCGGUGACAGGUGGUGCAUGGUUGUCGUCAGCUCGUGUCGUGAGAUGUUGGGUUAAGUCCCGCAACGAGCGCAACCCCUAUUGUUAGUUGCCAUCAUUCAGUUGGGCACUCUAGCGAGACUGCCGGUAAUAAACCGGAGGAAGGUGGGGAUGACGUCAAAUCAUCAUGCCCCUUAUGACCUGGGCUACACACGUGCUACAAUGGUUGGUACAACGAGUUGCGAGUCGGUGACGGCGAGCUAAUCUCUUAAAGCCAAUCUCAGUUCGGAUUGUAGGCUGCAACUCGCCUACAUGAAGUCGGAAUCGCUAGUAAUCGCGGAUCAGCACGCCGCGGUGAAUACGUUCCCGGGCCUUGUACACACCGCCCGUCACACCACGAGAGUUUGUAACACCCGAAGUCGGUGAGG